rnacentral:rRNA from 1 species
AUUGAACGCUGGCGGCAUGCCUUACACAUGCAAGUCGAACGGUAACAGGUUAAGCCGACGAGUGGCGAACGGGUGAGUAAUAUAUCGGAACGUGCCCAGUCGUGGGGGAUAACUGCUCGAAAGAGCAGCUAAUACCGCAUACGACCUGAGGGUGAAAGCGGGGGAUCGCAAGACCUCGCGCGAUUGGAGCGGCCGAUAUCAGAUUAGGUAGUUGGUGGGGUAAAGGCCUACCAAGCCUACGAUCUGUAGCUGGUCUGAGAGGACGACCAGCCACACUGGGGCUGGGACACGGCCCAGCCUCCUACGGGAGUCAGCAGUGGGGAAUUUUGGACAAUGGACGCAAGUCUGAUCCAGCCAUGCCGCGUGCGGGAAGAAGGCCUUCGGGUUGUAAACCGCUUUUGUCGGGGAAGAAAAGGUUCUGGUUAAUACCUGGGACUCAUGACGGUACCUGAAGAAUAAGCACCGGCUAACUACGUGCCAGCCGCCGCCGUAACAC